rnacentral:rRNA from 1 species
GUGCCAGCCGCUGCGGUAAUACGGAGGGUGCAAGCGUUAAUCGGAAUUACUGGGCGUAAAGCGCACGCAGGCGGUUUGUUAAGUCAGAUGUGAAAUCCCCGAGCUUAACUUGGGAACUGCAUUUGAAACUGGCAAGCUAGAGUCUCGUAGAGGGGGUAGAAUUCCAGGUGUAGCGGUGAAAUGCGUAGAGAUCUGGAGGAAUACCGGUGGCGAAGGCGGCCCCCUGGACAAAGACUGACGCUCAGGUGCGAAAGCGUGGGAGCAAACAGGAUUAGAUACCCUGGUAGUCCACGCUAGUAACG